rnacentral:rRNA from 1 species
UACGGGGGGAGCAAGCGUUGUUCGGAUUUACUGGGCGUAAAGGGCGCGUAGGCGGCGUGACAAGUCACUUGUGAAAUCUCCGGGCUUAACCCGGAAAGGUCAGCCGAUACUGCGGGGCUAGAGUGCAGAAGGGGCAACUGGAAUUCUCGGUGUAGCGGUGAAAUGCGUAGAUAUCGAGAGGAACACCUGCGGCGAAGGCGGGUUGCUGGGCUGACACUGACGCUGAGGCGCGAAAGCUAGGGGAGCGAACGGG